rnacentral:rRNA from 1 species
AUUGAACGCUGGCGGCAGGCCUAACACAUGCAAGUCGAACGAGUGGCGGACGGGUGAGUAAUGUCUGGGAAACUACCUGAUGGAAGGGGAUAACUACUGGAAACGGUAGCUAAUACCGCAUCCCAUCGGAUGUGCCCAGAUGGGAUUAGCUAGUAGGUGGGGUAAAGGCUCACCUAGGAGACGAUCCCUAGCUGGUCUGAGAGGAGGAACAGCAAGACUGGACCUGAGACACGGUCCAGACUCCUACGGGAGGCAGCAGUGGGGAAUAUUGCACAAUGGGCGCAAGCCUGAUGCAGCCAUGCCGCGUGUGUGAAGAAGGCCUUCGGGUUGUAAAGCACUUUCAGCGGGGAGGCGUUACCCGCAGAAGAAGCACCGGCUAACUCCGUGCCAGCAGCCGCGGUAAUAC